CCUACGGGUGGCAGCAGUGGGGAAUAUUGCACAAUGGGGUGAACCCUGAUGCAGCAACGCCGCGUGGGUGAAGACGUACCUCGGUACGUAAAGCCCCGUUAGCAGGGAAGCAAAUGACGGUACCUGUCCCAGAAGCCCCGGCUAACUACGUGCCAGCAGCCGCGGUAACACGGAGGGGGCCAGCGUUAUCCGGAUUUACUGGGUGUAAAGGGAGCGUAGUCGGCAAGGCAAGUCUGGAGUGAAAGCUCGUGGCUCAACCACGGGACUGCUGUGGAAACUGUGUUGCUGGAGUGCAGGAGGGGUAAGCGGAAUUCCUGGUGUAGCGGUGAAAUGCGUAGAUAUUAGGAGGAACACCGGUGGCGAAGGCAGCUUACUGGACUGUAACUGACGUUGAGGCUCGAAGGCGUGGGGAGCGAACAGGAUUAGAUACCCUUGUAGUC
rnacentral:rRNA from 1 species